GGUUACUUUACUGGAUUUCAAGAUAUUUUAAUGUGAGAGUAGUUAGGACCUUGUGGUACUGGCACACAGACCAACGGAAUGGUAGACAAGGAACAGAUUCACACUUGGAUACUUGAUUUAGGACAACGUGGCAUUGAAAGACAGUAGAAAAGAUACCCCCCCCCCCACCCCCAGCCAAUAAUUCUGGAUCAACUGAAUAUCCAAAUGGAAAAAAACUAAAACCCGAUCCUGGCCUCACGUCUUAUUCCAAGAUAAAAUUGAGGCAAAUUAUAGAUGAAAACACGUAAGCCCCACCUGACUUCAGCGCAGCCGCCUGGACAGCUCUGGAGGGCUUCAACUCCUCUCAAGCACAGCCACUUCUUUCACCGCCUGUCCUGGGGUUCCUACUACACCGUAGAGGUUUCCAAGAGCCUGCUUGGUGAGCAAACAUGUGCAGCUAGGAAAUCAACCCCCUGAAGGUGACCCUCCGUCGGGGAAGAAGGAUUCUAGAUUCAGGGUCAAGGAGUAAACCUGCCCGUAAACCAGGGACAGCACAGGGCUCCAGAUGGAGGCUGGACACCAAGGCGUUUGGAAUGGACCGAAGUUCACCCUGUCCCUAGUCUGAGACCUCCUGUCCAGAACUUGCUCCUCCAGCUCCGUGAGGACUGUCCUGUGAGGCCCACGGAUGAAACUGAGACGUCAAGACCUGGUCAGGGACGUGUUUUCUUGCCUGAGAGAGAGCAAGGAAAGCUCCCUCCAGGGGCCGCGCAUUGUCAGCGGCCAGUUGAGAGCCUGGCCUCCUUCAGAGCUUGCCCCUGUUCUUUGCAGCCAAGGCCAACCUCAUCCACACAUUUGUUCUCCUUCAACAAAGGCUUACUGAGCUCCUGUAAAAUGGCAGACUCUUCUGCGACCUUUCAUCCAGCUGACUCAUCCUAAGCUUAAAUUCCACUUGCCCUGGUAGCUCUUCUGUGACCCCUACACUUGGUUGGAACCACCCUGCCCCCCUCCCCACCGCCCGUGUUCUUAACAUCCCACAUUUCUCCUACUUCUUGUAGCUGCUUAACUUUUGGGCUCCCCUGCUUGACUCUUGACAUUAUGAGGGCAAAGGGCCUGAUGCCUUAAUCACUGCCUCUCGCACGGUGUCUGGCAUGCCAGGAUACCUUUGAUGAAGUUAUUUUAACCUCGAUAAGCUCCAGCUAGAAACACGGGAGUGAGAUCACCUAGAUGCAAUCCCUGCCCCCUUUUACAAACCUGGGUGGGAGGAGAUGCAAAGAGAGGUUAGAGCAUCCAGGCAAGUGGCAGAGGUAAAAUCAGAACGCAGACAGUCUGACUCCAGAUCCUCAUUCUCCACCCCUUUGUGAUGCUCUCUCUCAAAGAUGCUCUUUGCAGGUAAUGCCAUGGUUCAGCUGCUCUUUCUACCCCAGUUUAGAAACCGUGUAGGACUGCUGCCAGAAAUUUUGUGUUUCCCUUUUGUGGUCUGUUUAGGAUGUUAGCAGGCCACAUUUCGGAGCUGUCGGUGUGGGCAUAAAACCUACUUUGUAAGGUUGUUAUAAGGAUCACAGAAGGUCUUUUGAAGACCCUUAUGAAGUGCAGAGGGGGAUAAAGUUUUGAGGGUACUGUCUUAAGUAAUGAGGAUGAGUGUCCCGUGGCUGGCACGGCGGCGCCCAUGUAGUAAAUCCUCAACAGUGGUAACUGUCUUCUGCUUUGAACCACAUCGCUUUAGUGUUCUGGAAUCCUCCUUCCUCUCAUGAGUUAAUAAAAACAUCUACAGGGAAUGCACCCC